rnacentral:rRNA from 1 species
UACACGCUGUGACUAGCAUAUCAAUAAGCGGAGGAAAAGAAACUAACAAGGAUUCCCUUAGUAACGGCGAGUGAAGCGGGAAGAGCUCAAAUUUGAAAUCUUCAAGGUUUUACCUUGACGAAUUGUAGUUUAAAGAAGUGUUUUCCUGCUGAAGUUUUGGUAAAAGUUCUUUGGAAUAGGACAUCAUAGAGGGUGAGAAUCCCGUAUUUGACCAUUAUUUUCAGCUUUGUGAUACACUUUCAAAGAGUCGGAUUGUUUGGGAAUGCAGUCCAAAAUGGGUGGUAAAUUUCAUCUAAAGCUAAAUAUUGGCGAGAGACCGAUAGCGAACAAGUACCGUGAGGGAAAGAUGAAAAGAACUUUGAAAAGAGAGUUAAACAGUACGUGAAAUUGUCAAAAGGGAAGCGUUUGACACCAGUGCUGUUUUCUCGAAAAUCAAUUAAAAAUGGCUCGAUUUUGUAUUGUUGAGACCUUAAAAGCUCACUGUACAUUUUUCGUGUCUUUUUUAAUGCACUUUUCGUUUAACAAGUCAACAUCAGUUUCUUUUGUUGUAAAAGGGUCAUUGGAAGGUGGCUUUCUUUUCGGAGAAAGUGUUUAUAGCCUUUGGCCUCUGCAAUCGGAGAGACUGAGGUCUGCAGCGUAGACUCUUCGGGGUUAGAUACAUUUGUGCUAAGUUAUAGCUUUUUAUAGACAACUUGUUGACUAUAAUCAGUCUUGUAGCUUACUCGCUUAUGCUAUUUUACCUACGCUUAGGAUGUUGAUCUACAGAGCGAGAGU